GGCCUGUGGCCCAUUGGAUAAGGCGUCGGACUUCGGAUCCAAAGAUUGUAGGUUCGAGUCCUGCCAGGGUCG
rnacentral:tRNA from 1 species